rnacentral:lncRNA from 1 species
UGUGUGUGUGUGUAUGUAUGUGUGCAUGUGUGUUUGUGUAUAUGUCUGUGCGUGCAUGUGUAUAUGCAUGUAUGUAAGUGCAUGUGUGUGUAUGUGUGUAUGUCUGUGUAUGCAUAUGUAUGUAUGCAUGUAUGUAAGUGCAUUGUCUGGAUGUGCAUGUAUGUGUAUAUGUGCAUCUGUGUUUGCGUGUGUGUGCAUGUGUCUAUAUUUCAUGCAUGUGUGUGUAUGUCUGUGUGUGCAUGUGUAUGUAUGCAUGUGUGUGCAUGCAUGUGUGUGCAUGUGUGUAUGUAU